rnacentral:rRNA from 1 species
UACGUAGGGUGCAAGCGUUAAUCGGAAUUACUGGGCGUAAAGCGUGCGCAGGCGGUCGUCCAAGUCGCGUGUGAAAGCCCCCGGCUCAACUGGGGAGGGUCACGCGAUACUGAUCGACUCGAAGGCAGGAGAGGGAAGCGGAAUUCCCGGUGUAGUGGUGAAAUGCGUAGAUAUCUGGAAGAACACCAAUGGCGAAGGCAAUGUUCUGGCUCGUUUCUGACGCUCAGGUGCGAAAGCCAGGGGAGCGAACGGG